rnacentral:rRNA from 1 species
AGCUCCAAUAGCGUAUAUUAAAGUUGUUGCAGUUAAAAAGCUCGUAGUUGGAUUUCUGGUGUGAGGGAACGGUCCGACCUCUGGUGGGUACUUGCUUCCUCUCACGCCAUCCUUGAGUGGUGCGUUCUGGCAUUCAGUUGUCGGGACGUUAGCCGCUCAUCGUUUACUGUGAGAAAAUUAGAGUGUUCAAAGCAGGCUUAUGCCGUUGAAUAUAUUAGCAUGGAAUAAUAAGAUAGGACUUCGGUACUAUUUUGUUGGUUUGCGCACCGAUGUAAUGAUCAAUAGGGACAGUUGGGGGUAUUCGUAUUCAGUUGUCAGAGGUGAAAUUCUUAGAUUUACGAAAGACAAACUACUGCGAAAGCAUUUACCAAGGAUGUUUUCA